UGCCAGGGAGGCGUCACGUUUGCUGAGCUGAGAGUGAUGAAGGGGGAGCCACGGAUGUGCAAGCAGGAGAUCCGCUACAGAUAUUACUGUGCUGAUAGAGAUGGCAACACACCAGAUGCCUCUAGUGGAGACAUGGGCUUCAGAUGUGCUGCCGAUUACCUGCCAAAUUAUCAAAGCAAAUAACUGAAGACGUUUACAAUCUAUUACAUAUAAUGAAUGCAAAUUAUUUGGCAAAAAAAAAAAUAGUAAAAUGGUCUUUGUCAUUUAAAAUUAAACAAUUUCAAAAUGAA